GGGGAAUGAGAAGUUGUUUUACAAGCUCCUUAUAGAUCAUGUAGAAGAAUUGCUCCCAGUUGUCUAUACACCAACCGUGGGUGAAGCUUGCCAGAAGUAUGGAAGCAUCUUCAGGCAACCACAGGGUCUAUAUAUCAGUUUGAGAGAAAAGGGGAAGAUCCUCGAGGUCUUGCGGAAUUGGCCUGAGAAGAACAUUCAAGUCAUCGUAGUUACUGAUGGGGAGAGAAUUUUGGGGCUAGGGGAUCUUGGAUGCCAGGGGAUGGGCAUACCUGUUGGAAAACUCUCUUUGUAUACUGCA
rnacentral:misc_RNA from 1 species